rnacentral:rRNA from 1 species
GACAGAGGUGCCGAGCGUUAGGCGGAAUCACUGGGCUUAAAGCGUGUGUAGGCGGGUCCGUAAGUACCUUGUGAAAUCCCCACGGCUCAACCGUGGAACUGCUUGGUAUACUGCGGGCUCUUGAGCCACCUAGGGGCAAGCGGAACAAGCGGUGGAGCGGUGAAAUGCGUAGAUAUCGAGAGGAACACCAGUGGCGAAGGCGAGUCCCUGGACGACUCCUGACACUGAGGCACGAAAGCUAGGGGAGCAAACAGG